GGUGGUUUGGCUCAGUUGUUAGAGCGUAGGUCUAACCGAAAAGUUGCGGGAUCGAAUCCCGCUGAGGCUG
rnacentral:tRNA from 1 species